GCAAAAGCCCUAUUUAGGGCUACAUAAAAAUCUAUUGUCGAAUUUAU
rfam:Picea glauca, whole genome shotgun sequence.